UACGGAGGGUGCAAGCGUUAAUCGGAAUCACUGGGCGUAAAGAGCGCGAAGGCGGUCUCUUAAGUCAGAUGUGAAAGCCCGGGGCUCAACACCGGAAGUGCAUUUGAAACUAAGAGACUUGAGUAUGGGAGAGGGAAGUGGAAUUCCUGGUGUAGCGGUGAAAUGCGUAGAUAUCAGGAGGAACACCGGUGGCGAUGGCGACUUCCUGGACCAAUACUGACGCUGAGGUGCGAAGGCGUGGGGAGCAAACAGG
rnacentral:rRNA from 1 species